rnacentral:rRNA from 1 species
UACGGAGGGUGCGAGCGUUGUCCGGAAUCACUGGGCGUAAAGGGCGCGUAGGCGGCCGCGUAAGUCACUUGUGAAAUCCCGGGGCUCAACUCCGGGGCUGCAGGUGAGACUGCGUGGCUAGAGCACGGUAGAGGCGAGUGGAAUUCCCGGUGUAGCGGUGGAAUGCGUAGAUAUCGGGAAGAACACCGGUGGCGAAGGCGGCUCGCUGGGCCGUUGCUGACGCUGAGGCGCGAAAGCGUGGAGAGCAAACAGG